GGACAGGUGGCAGAGUGGUUGAAUGCAGCGGUCUUGAAAACCGCCGUGGGUGAAAGCCCACCGUGGGUUCGAAUCCCACCCUGUCCGCCA
rnacentral:tRNA from 1 species